GGGACCAUAUCAACUGGCUAGAGCACCUGUCUUGCAAACAGGAGGUUAGGGGUUCAAUUCCCCUUGGCUCCA
rnacentral:tRNA from 1 species